rnacentral:rRNA from 1 species
UACGUAGGGGGCUAGCGUUGUCCGGAAUCAUUGGGCGUAAAGAGCGUGUAGGCGGCCCGGUAAGUCCGCUGUAAAAGUCAAAGGCUCAACCUUUGAAUGUCAGUGGAUACUGCCGGGCUAGAGUCCGGAAGAGGCGAGUGGAACUCCUGGUGUAGCGGUGGAAUGCGCAGAUAUCAGGAAGAACACCAACGGCGAAGGCAGCUCGCUAGGACGGUACUGACGCUGGGACGCGAAAGCGUGGGGAGCGAACAGG